GAUGAACGCUGGCGGCGUGCCUAAUACAUGCAAGUCGAGCGAACAGACGAGGAGCUUGCUCCUCUGACGUUAGCGGCGGACGGGUGAGUAACACGUGGAUAACCUACCUAUAAGACUGGGAUAACUUCGGGAAACCGGAGCUAAUACCGGAUAAUAUAUUGAACCGCAUGGUUCAAUAGUGAAAGACGGUUUUGCUGUCACUUAUAGAUGGAUCCGCGCCGCAUUAGCUAGUUGGUAAGGUAACGGCUUACCAAGGCAACGAUGCGUAGCCGACCUGAGAGGGUGAUCGGCCACACUGGAACUGAGACACGGUCCAGACCCCUACGGGAGGCAGCAGUAGGGAAUCUUCCGCAAUGGGCGAAAGCCUGACGGAGCAACGCCGCGUGAGUGAUGAAGGUCUUCGGAUCGUAAAACUCUGUUAUUAGGGAAGAACAAAUGUGUAAGUAACUAUGCACGUCUUGACGGUACCUAAUCAGAAAGCCACGGCUAACUACGU
rnacentral:rRNA from 1 species